AUWUUAAKGGGGUGRAACSGCGAACGGSCUCAUUAUAACAGCUAUAAUGUMCUUGAUGUUGAUUAUCCAACGUGGAUAACUGUGGCAAUUCUAGAGCUAAUACAUGCACCAWAGCUCCGACUUUUGAACGAGCGCAUCUAUUAGAUUAAAACCAAUCGGGUUAUUAGCCCGUUAAUUGGYGACUCUGAAUAGCUAUGGCUGAUCGCAUGGUCUUGUACCGGCGACGUAUCUAUCAAGUGUCUGCCUUAUCAACUUUCGAUGGUAGUUUAUGUGCCUACCAUGGUUGUAACGGGUAACGGAGAAUAAGGKUUCGACUCCGGAGAGGGAGCCUAGAAACGGCUACACAUCCAGAAGGAGC
rnacentral:rRNA from 1 species